CCCUGGGUGAAAAUCUCAAAAUUCCCACUUUCUGCAAGUCCCUUGAAUGCACCACACACACACCUCACAGGUCACAUGUUUCCCAUGACCAAUCCAAGGUAUUGGAGGGAAAGUUACCUGCGACCUCACUUCCUCUCCAGUCAGUUGUGUGGGGAGAGGAGCUGAGGGAGCAGCAGUGCACAGAUCUCUGCCUGCCUGGAGCUUUGGAUUGGGGGACUUUGUCAGGACAUGUGCCUGUGUGAAGGGAAUUGGCCAGGUGUCCUACUCUGAAUUGAGUAGUGGAUGGCGAGCCAGUGGUUCAGCGGCCAGGAGCCUGAAGAGACCCCCUCAGUUCCCAAAUAAAUUGUCGGGUAGGAGGCUGGUGCAGCCUGCUCUCUUGCCCCCACCUACUCACUCCUCCAUUACACCACUUUCCCCAAUAUUCACAUUCACUCUGGACAUUUGCGCUUUCGCCAAACCCCACCACUGCAAUAAUUCAUAUAUGGACAAUUGGUGGUGAAAAAUGGACCCCGAGUGAGAAGAAACCCGAUACCUGCUGGACUCUGAAUUUAUUUUCUUUAUUUUGAGUUACUUAGUUUGUUUGCUCGUUCACUGUAAAUAUUUUGGGUUGUUUGUUUAAUAGUUCUGUUUUGUUGUCACAUUUAAUAUAUUAUGCUUGCACUUAAACUUACCUGGUGUUGUGUUUUACUGUCCUCCGCCCUCCAGUAGUCGAACCCAGAAUCUUUUGACUAGCCCGCUUAAUAUACUCACCUCAGUGGUGAUAAAUUAUCAUAACGUAACCGAAAUAUCUGUUACAUUUUUGGCGAGCCAGCCAGGAGGGUGAAAGGUACAGUAAUCUGUUCAACUGUUUAUUCCUACUCACCAAUUCUUGUGUCACAACAUGGAAACAUUUGAAUCCCUUGGUGUAAAAAUCCCAAAUGCAAUUUUGGUUGAUGGCAUCACAGAGUCUGAUUCAUGUGACAGUAUUCUUACAUUCCUUGAGUCAUAUGGUGCGAUAAAACAACACCUCAUAAUAAAUGAUCGAGAUUCAGAUUAUUUUGGCCGACUAGUAGUUGAAUAUGAGUCCGGUUCAGCUUUUGCGAGUUUUCCAUCCUUACCAUAUACUUACAAACCGGGUAAAGGCAAUAAAUUCUUUAUUGAGAGUCUGUCUGACAUUUAUGCUUCAGAGGGUUGUGCCACAAAAACUGAAACCUUUAUGAGGGAUGCGAAGAAUAUGGCUAAACUGUCUGGGAAGGAAUAUGGAGAAAUUCUCCAGGAAAUGUUAUCGCAGAUUCAGAAGUCAAUCGCUGAUCUCGACCGUCCUGCUGCAGAUGUCGAUGCUGGUGGUGCAGAACAGUCAACCCCCUCGGUAUCAGUAAACCCCUCACAAUCUACUGCGGUGCAUGCUACCUCUGCUUCCAGGCCCAGCUUUGUUCCUCAUGCUGAGAGUACCCAGAGGGAAGAAAGGCGAUCUACAACA